CCCUAUAGUCUCGCCUCAGUGCGCCUGCGCCGCAGCCCCUGUGCGUGUCUCUCUCGGCUUCGUUGCCACCAUUUUGUGCUAGGAUCGCGGCUCUUGCUGCUUUACCCUGCCCCGUCCCGCGCGUGUGAGAACCGGAGCAGCGGCGUCAUGGCGGAGAGUCAGUCAGCGGCCGGGCUGGGGGAGUCCGCGCCCCUGGGCGGGGCGGCUCCCCCCGGCUCGGAGCCCGAGACCCGGCGGCUGAGCGAGCUGCGGGUCAUCGACCUGAGGGCCGAGCUCAAGCGCCGCAACCUGGACAGCGGCGGCAACAAGAGCGUCCUGAUGGAGCGGCUCCGGAAGGCUAUUGAGGAUGAAGGGGGAAAUCCUGAUGAAAUUCCAAUGGUGUCAGAGAUAACCAUCAAGAAAACACCAAAGAGAAGCAGCAAAGGGCGUAGACUAGAAGAAGAGGGAGUUGAAGAUAAUGGACUGGAGGAGGAUUCUGGGGAUGGGCAGGAGGAUAUUGAAGCAAGUUUGGAUAACUUGCAGGAUAUUGACAUGAUGGAUAUUAGUGUGUUAGAUGAAGCUGAAAUAGAUAAUGGCAGUGCUGUAGAUUGCGGAGAGGAUUACAGUGCUGAUAAUAUUCUUGACUCACUGUCUGAUAGUAAAGAAAAUGCUGAUGCAGAAAUGAAAGAACUUCCAGAUCAGCCUACAGAAUAUGCUGUAGGUAACUUGGAGGCAUCUCCACAGUUUUCAGAAAUUAAAGAAGAAUCAAGAGAAAUACCAGUAGUGAUGGCAGAAAGUGAGGAAGUUGGAAACAGUUUAGAUGUUUCUUCAUCUGAUUUAACUGUAGUGAAGGAAAUUGAAGAACUCCCGUUGGAGCCAGAAAAUGAGAAAAUACUCGAGAUUUUGGGGGAAACUUGUAAAUCUGAACCACUUAAAGAAGAAAUAUCCGAAGUGGAGCAGCCAUAUGCACAAGAAGCAAGUAACGCCGUGGCAGGCAAAAAGCUAGCAGAGGAAGAGGACGCUCUUGCUGCCAGUCAGUCGGAGGAAGAUGCUUUAGAUUUGGACAGCAAGUCAGCACAAGAUCUUUCAAGGAAGGAAGCAAAGCAUUUAGUUGUAGCAAAAGGGGAGACAAGUGAACAGACAAUAGAUGAAGAGAAAAUGGACUCUGAAUCUUUAGUAAUAAGUGAUCAGAGUAGCAAACCAUCAGAAGGUCUGGAAGCCUCUAGUGGGGAAACAGCGGAUAAAGAUGCAGGUCUUGAAACCAAAGAUAGUAAAGAAGAUGCCAAGAAAACAGAAGACAAAGCUAAUUCUGAAGAAUCAACUGCUACUAAAGAGUCCUCUACCAAUGAGGACGGUGAUCAGAAAAAGAGCUCUGUUGAGGAUGCAGACACAAAGACGGUCUCAAAAGAUGAGAAAGGUCGUACAAGUAGCAGUUCUGGUAGAAAUUUGUGGGUUAGUGGACUUUCCUCCUCUACCAGAGCAACAGACUUGAAGAAUCUUUUCAGCAAAUAUGGAAAGGUGGUUGGUGCAAAAGUGGUGACUAAUGCUCGCAGUCCUGGGGCUCGCUGUUACGGUUUUGUUACAAUGUCAACAUCUGAGGAAGCUACCAAAUGUAUUGGUCACCUCCACAGAACAGAGUUGCAUGGGAAAAUGAUCUCUGUAGAAAAAGCAAAAAAUGAACCAGCCGGGAAAAAACCUUCAGACAAAAAAGAAAGUGAAGCAAGGAAGGAGAGAGACAGGCACCAUUCUACAGAUUCCAAGUCUGAAAAGUCUGUCAGUAUUAAAAAGGACGAGAAGACAGAUAAAAAAGAUGAUACUAAGAAAACAGAGAGAGAUGAAAAAGAAGGAAAAGAGAAAGAUGAACAGAAAACUACAUCUUCCAAUCGCUCUAGGACUAGCAAAUCAGGAAGUCGAGGAAUCGAAAGAACAGUAAUAAUGGAUAAAUCCAAAGGAGAACCAGUUAUUAGUGUGAAAACCUCUACCACAUCAAAAGAGAGAAAUACUAAGAGCCAGGAUCGCAAGUCAGAGAGCAAGGAGAAACAAGAUAUUUUAUCAUUUGAUAAAAUCAAAGAACAGCGAGAGCGUGAGCGACAGAGGCAGAGAGAACGAGAAAUCAGAGAAACGGAGAGACGCCGAGAACGAGAACGACGAGAGCGAGAACAGCGUAUUCAAGCCAUUCAUGAACGGGACGAAAGACAGAGGCUUCAGAGAGAGCGCGACCGGCUUGAAUUUCAAAGGCAGCGGCUUGACAGAGAGCGUUUGGAGAGGGAGAGGCUGGAGAGAGAGAGGAUGCACAUCGAGCAAGAAAGGAGGAAGGAACAAGAUCGCAUACAGCGAGAAAGAGAAGAGCUGCGUCGUCAGCAAGAACAACUGCGCUAUGAGCAAGAACGGCGAUCAGCAAUUAGGAGACCUUAUGACACUGAUGCAAGGCGAGAUGACUCCUACUGGCCGGAGGCAAAGCGAAUGGCGAUGGAUGAUAGAUACCAUUCUGAUUUUACCCGUCAAGAUCGCUUCCAUGAUUUUGAUCACAGGGAUCGUGGCAGAUACCAAGAUCAUUCUGUGGAUAGGAGAGAAGUUUCAAGGGCAGUGGCAGAUCGAGAUGGGCAGCAUUACCCAGAUGAGCGCCAUGGAGGACCAGAACGUCACUCGCGGGACUCACGGGACAGUUGGGCUGGCUAUGGGUCUGACAGAAGAAUGAGCGAAGGGAGAACGAUACCUCCACAGUCCCGAGAUGGACGUGACUGGGGAGAUCAUGGUCGAAAGUUAGAGGGGCAUCAAGAUCGUUCAUGGCAGGGCAGUGCAGAUGGAGUGAUGGGACGGGAUCAUGAGAGAUGGCAAGGUGCUGAUAGAGGCAUCCCUGCUCAGUCCGCACCAGCCCAUGUGAUGAAUCGAGGAGCAGUAUCCGGGUAAGAAGCUUAGUCAAAGAUUUUUGGUCCUUUUCCUUUCCUUUCUUUCCCUCUGCAUGUUGUAAUUGAAUCAGUUGAGUAAUGUUUCCAUGAUUUUAUCUGGUGCAUUUUAUUUCAAGAAUAAAAAUGAUUAAAAAAAUGUAAAUACUACAAAAUCACAGCAAUGUUACAUAUUUGCAAUGAAGAUUAAAACACACAUUUUAAAAAGUUUGACUUUGUUCCUAGGCGUGGAGGCUUCAUGCAAAGUGGAACCCAGAGCCAGAUAGUGCAGGCUAGUGGAGUGCCAGGAGCAUUUGCAAACCAGGACAGAGCAAACAGACCCAGUGAUCCCCGCUUCACGCACCGCUACUGAAAUUUUUAACCUUCUCUGAAUGUAAGAUGGCUACAGUGGUGAAUUCUAUUACCCAGGGUCACCUUGAAUUUAUGUAAUUAAAAAUCUGCUGCCAUAUUGUAAUAGAAAACUAUGUGAACUCAUUUGUUUGUUUUUUUGUAAUAAAUGUGUUCAUGUUCAAACACCACUUAAGUUUCUGUUAAUGAAACAUUCCAUUUUUCAUAAAUAAUAAAAUUAGUUUACAGCUAA